AGUAUAGUCGCGAUAACGCGCUUGACGGAAGUAGUAUGCUCCGAGGCGGAAGCAUAAAUGAUUCAAGGAGCUUCACCGACUUCCUUUUCUCUGUGGCCGCCAUCGUGAGUGGAGUGUGUUCCCCGGCGAGCCGAAAACUAUCCUACGAAAAUGGCCUGUGCCCGACCCCUGAUCUCGGUGUACUCCGAGAAGGGAGAAUCUUCCGGCAAAAAUGUUGUCAUGCCAGCCGUGUUCAAGGCUCCAAUCCGCCCUGAUGUUGUGAACUUUGUUCACACCAACAUGCGCAAAAACAACCGCCAGCCCUAUGCCGUCAGUGGACUGGCCGGUCACCAGACCAGCGCCGAGUCCUGGGGUACAGGAAGAGCUGUGGCCCGUAUCCCCCGUGUGAGAGGUGGUGGUACUCACCGAUCUGGCCAGGGUGCUUUCGGAAAUAUGUGUCGUGGAGGUCGCAUGUUUGCCCCAACCAAGACUUAUCGCCGCUGGCAUCGCAGGAUCAACACAACCCAGAAGCGUUAUGCCAUCUGCUCUGCCCUGGCUGCUACAGCUCUUCCUGCACUUGUGAUGUCCAAAGGACAUCGCAUUGAGGAAAUCCCUGAGGUCCCACUGGUGGUGGAAGACAAAGUUGAGGGUUACAAGAAGACCAAGGAGGCUGUGCUCCUGCUGAAGAAGCUUAAAGCCUGGAAUGAUAUCAAGAAGGUCUACUCCUCUCAGCGCAUGCGUGCCGGUAAGGGUAAGAUGAGGAACAGGCGAAGGAUCCAACGCAAAGGGCCUUGCAUCAUCUACAACCAAGACGCUGGUCUCACCAAAGCCUUCAGAAAUAUCCCAGGCAUCACUCUGCAGAACGUGAACAAACUGAACCUCCUGAGACUCCCCCCUGGUGGUCACGUUGGACACUUCUGCAUCUGGACUGAGAGCGCUUUCCUUAACCUGGAUGAGCUGUAUGGCACCUGGCGUAACCCGCCUCCCUUAAAACUCUGCUACAACCUCCCAAUGCACAAGAUGACCAACACAGACCUAAGCAGGAUUCUGAAGAGUGAGGAGAUCCAGAAAGCACUUUGUGCACCAAACAAGAUCAACCUGCAGAGUUCUGAAGAGUGAGGAGAUCCAGAAAGCACUUUGUGCAUCAAACAAGAAGAUCAACCUGCAGAGUUCUGAAGAGUGAGGAGAUCCAGAAAGCACUUUGUGCAUCAAAGAAGAUCAACCUGCAGAGUUCUGAAGAGUGAGGAGAUCCAGAAAGCACUUUGUGCAUCAAAGUAAGCACUACUCAGUUUAUAAGUUUUAGAUGUUUCAUGUCUGGUCAACUAUGAUGAUUUUGUAUUCCGUGUUUCUGAACCCUGAUAACAAAAGACGUUCUGAGCGACGAGCUGGGCUCAUUACAAACUGUUGUUUUGUAGGUCAUAGUUAAGAAUUGGUUUUAUUGUCAUUACAGGAAGAUCAACCUGCAGAGUUCUGAAGAGUGAGGAGAUCCAGAAAGCACUUUGUGCAUCAAACAAGAAGAUCAACUUGAAGAGUGAGGAGAUCCAGAAAGCACUUUGUGCAUCAAACAAGAAUAUCAACCUGAAGAGUGAGGAGAUCCAGAAAGCACUUUGUGCACCAAACAAGAAGAUCAACCGCAAAGUUCUGAAGAAUCCUCUGAAGACCAAGAUGCUGAAACCUGUAAAGAAUGGCAAUAUUGUAAUAAUAAAACAAGGAUUUCAAAUUCA